UACGUAGGUGGCAAGCGUUAUCCGGAUUUACUGGGUGUAAAGGGCGUGUAGGCGGGAUGGUAAGUCAGAAGUGAAAGCCCAGGGCUCAACCCUGGGACUGCUUUUGAAACUGCCGGGCUGGAGUGCAGGAGAGGUAAGCGGAAUUCCUAGUGUAGCGGUGAAAUGCGUAGAUAUUAGGAGGAACACCAGUGGCGAAGGCGGCUUACUGGACUGUAACUGACGUUGAGGCUCGAAAGCGUGGGGAGCAAACAGG
rnacentral:rRNA from 1 species